AGAUGUAGCUCAGUGGUAAAGUGCUGGCCUAGCAUGCAGGAAGCUCUGAGUUCCAUCCCCAGCACUG
rnacentral:tRNA from 1 species